rfam:Mustela putorius furo unplaced genomic scaffold scaffold00117, whole genome shotgun sequence.
UCCUUGUUGGCUCAGUUGGUAGAGUAUGUGACUCUUGAUCUCAGUGUCAUGAGUUCAAGCCCCAUGUUAGGUG